rnacentral:rRNA from 1 species
UUUACGGAGAGUUUGAUCCUGGCUCAGGACGAACGCUGGCGGCGUGCUUAACACAUGCAAGUCGAACGAUGAAAGCAGGAGCUUGCUCUUGCUGGAUUAGUGGCGAACGGGUGAGUAACACGUGAGUAACCUGCCCUUGACUCUGGGAUAAGCGUUGGAAACGACGUCUAAUACCGGAUACGAGCUAGGACCGCAUGGUCACUAGCUGGAAAGAACUUCGGUCAAGGAUGGACUCGCGGCCUAUCAGCUAGUUGGUGAGGUAACGGCCCACCAAGGCGACGACGGGUAGCCGGCCUGAGAGGGUGACCGGCCACACUGGGACUGAGACACGGCCCAGACUCCUACGGGAGGCAGCAGUGGGGAAUAUUGCACAAUGGGCGCAAGCCUGAUGCAGCAACGCCGCGUGAGG